rnacentral:lncRNA from 1 species
AAAAUUUAACCGUGCUAUAGUACGGGUCAUGAUCUAGUAUGAGUUUAAACUUAACACAGAGGUAUUGAUUGUAACAACUUUACAAAGCUUUACAAAGUAUAUAGUUUUAAAAUUGGGAAAAUUGGAUAUUAAGGAGGUUUAUUUUAAAAUUUGUCUGCAUAUGCAUUCUAUAGUGAAGUUUGGUGACAUAUGAUUUACUAACAUUUUAAUUCCAUUAUACCCUUAAACUUAAAAAAAAAAUCUUAUAAAAUUAUAGAAAUCUUUUCUAUUGUUUCUAAAAUCUUGCAAAAUCUUUCCCUAUUUUUUAUUUUUUUUUAUUUUUGGACUAAACUAUAGGGCAAGAGGGACAAUAGUUACUUCCUUAGUUUGUCGUCAUUCAUUCCAAAGUCUUAAUAUCUUCUUCUUCUUCUUCUCUAAAUCUCUGGCUCAAUCUCUUCCUCUUCUUCGAAUUUCAGUCUAUAGACAUGUAAUGAUUUUUGCUUUAUUUUGUUCGUUUAAUCAUGAUUUUAUCUAUACACAUUAUAAAUAAAUUGAAUACCAAAACACAACAUCUGGAACAAAUUUGUGCGUGGGAAUUCAAAACCAAUGACUUUGUUGAGAUUUGAGUUCUUGAUUAAAUCCUGCAACAAAGAAAAGAAUUAGUCAAAGAAGAAGAAGCAAAGCAAAGGAGGAGCAAGAUGAAGAAGUCGUCGAAGAGAAGAAAUUGGUGUCGUGAAAAGAGUGGUCAACGACACAACAAGAAGAAAGACACAAGUCAACAAGAAGAAAGAGUUGGGCUUUGUGUGUUUUGUAGUUAUGUUAGUAUUGGGCUAUUAGUUAAAUUAGGCCCAAAGAAGAAAGAGUGUUGUAGUUAGUCUAAAGCAAGACUAUAGUAGUUGUUGUAGUUGUUAAGAUUGCUUGUGUAAGUAAACUUUAGGCAAUGAUGUCUAGAAGUAAGUCUAGGUCCAAGUAGAAGUAUGGGUGCAAGUAUGUGUGGUAAGUGGAAACGAACCACUAUAUGUAUGUGUUGUUUGUGUUGUGUAAGAUCAUCCUUUGAUCCAAUAAACAAAAUGUAGACAAUUAAUGUUUUCUCUCUUCUCUCUUACUAAACGUUUAUGUCUUUGUGUUGAAACAAGAAUCUAACCAAAGACUUGAGAGAAUGAGAGAACAAGGUUCUCUUUGUGUUUGUAUUAAAGUGAGUGAGUGAUACAAAGCACUAAAGAGAACAAAGAGAGAAUAAGGUUGUGACCUCAAAGAGUGUGAAGAGGUCCAAAUGUCAACAGACUUUAAAAAAAUUGUUUAUUUGAGAAAAUGUUUUGAUGCAUUAGGCUGAUAGGAAUAAUCUAGUGUCGUGUGUCCUUAUUGACAAGACGACAUAAUGUGAGAAUCGAGAUAAUCAAGGGCUAGAUGAAUCGUGUGUCCUAAUUAGGAUUUUGUAUCUUUUAAGAAAUUCUAAAUAUACUUUCUAAUUCUUAUAGAAUAUAAGAAAUUUUUUAAGAAUACGUUUUCUAAUAUUUUUAGAACAUGACUAAAUGUUAGAAAACAUAUUCUAAUUUUCAUAGAACUAAGAGAAAAAUGUAGAAUAUGUAUUCUAAAUUUUGUAGAAAUUAGUAUUCUAAAUACCGUAGAACAUAAUUGACUUCUAAAUUUCGUAGAACAUGUAGAUUAUGUUCUACAUAAUCUAAAGAUCGUAGAAUAUGUAUAGUGUAUAGAAUACACAUUUUAAAUUUCAGAAGGUGUAUUCUUAAACUUUAUAGAUCAAAUUUUAUCUAUCCAAAACAUCAAAAAAAACCCGACAUAUUUUUGAUAUUUUAUAUAUCCUCAUGUCUUCUUCAUCAUUUUUCUACAAAUAUUUCUUAAUU